rnacentral:misc_RNA from 1 species
AUGGAGACAUGAAGAGGAAGAGCUGAGAGAGCAAGGAAUUCAGACAAUUCGUCUAGUUCAAAUCUCACUAGAAGCACCUGGUGGCGAGAGAAGUUUUCCACCCUGAACGGGAAUUAGUUCCAUUCACAUAAGCAGGUGGAAAUGCCUUGAGAUAGAAUUGAAGAGGAAAAAAAUAGAGAUAUUUAUGGGUUAUUGUUUGAUUUUUCAAACCCUAACUAUUAACAUUUAAUUGCUGAUCCGUGUUAUCAUAUUUAGGUGGAGUUUUUACAGCUUGAAAUAGAAAGGUUAGGUGAACGUUGUGGAAAAUGCUAAAAGGGGAGCAACACAACGUGGGAAGUCUGAACAUUGUGAAUUUGG